rnacentral:piRNA from 1 species
UGAUUUUGUGUGUUCCCAGUAGCUGUCUA